ensembl:snRNA U4 U4 spliceosomal RNA
AGCUUUGCGUAGUGGCAGUAUCAUGGCCAAUGAGGUUUAUCCAAGGCGCGAUUAUUGCUAAUUGAAAACUUUUUCCAAUACCCCGCCAUGACGCUUUGCAACAUAAUCGGCAUUGGCAAUUUUUGACAGUCUCUACGGAUA